UUUCCCUCAGGAUAGCUGGCACUCGCUUAAAGCGAGUCUCAUCUGGUAAAGCGAAUGAUUAGAGGCCUUGGGGCCGAAACGACCUCAACCUAUUCUCAAACUUUAAAUGGGUGAGAUCUCUGGCUUGCUUGAAACUUGAAGCCACGAGAUAACAUUGUAAAAUGGAUCAGAGUGCCAAGUGGGCCAAUUUUGGUAAGCAGAACUGGCGCUGUGGGA
rnacentral:rRNA from 1 species